AUGAACACAUCAUUGGCAGCCAGUUCUCUUCCUGCACCACAUCAUCUGCCUGGAAUAAUUGUGUCCAAGAUGGUUUAUCAGCUGCGCUCAGCACGCGUCCCUCCCCGCGGCAGUGGAUAUCCUACGGACUCCUCUGUUGUGGUUAAUUUUUUUUUGGCUCACGCGGAAUCUUAUUAUCGAGUUGGUGGCGAGUUUAACAUUAGGAAUGCCAAGGAAUGCCAGUCCUUGGCCCUGUUCACGGUGCGGGCAGGGAUGGCAGGUGCUAUCUCUGUUAAGCUAAUGAGGCGGGGAAAGCGCGGGAGAGCAGGUGCGGCCAGUCGGCCAUCCCUGGAGUGUCUGCGUUGCCCGGGCAACUUCUCCCACAACUGUAAAUGGCAGUGUUUUGCUUUUCAACAUUCUUCCCUCCGUCCUGUGUUAGCAAAUCCACUGGCCUCUCCUCUUUAUUUUCUUGGAGAGUAUGUAGAAUGAACUUGAACAAACUGCCAUCAUGGCAAUUCAAGACGUGGCUUCUCUUUCCAUUUCUACUGCCGCUGGUUUGAUUCCCCCCCCCCUUUUUUUCUUGGUGGUUGUACAGAAUUGAAAGCACAGUUCUGCAUGUGAAAUUACCAACACAAAGCAGCAAAUUGCCAUAGGGCCCGGACAAAGAAGGUGGAUUAUUGGAGGAUAUGUUUUUAAAAUUUGGGGCUGGGGGCAGGUGGUGCUGAGACUCGAAUUUCUAGCUGAAUAACAGGGUCCCUUGAGAAAUAGAGAAAGUGUUUGUAAAAUCAGCACUGUGAAUUCAGAAAAGGAUUCCUGCACCUGUUUGCCUUAUUAGAUUGUUAAACUUAAGUCAAAGGACAGGGAAAUAAUAGAUAAUAAUAAUAGGGAAAUAAUCCACAGAAGAGAUUUUUCAAAAAUGGAGAGCAGGGCAUACAGGGCUGAGUGGGAGCAGAGGGAGACAUGGCACCUUUGCUUAGAGGAGGAAACAUUCAUCAGCCAGGUAAGCUUGCUGUUGGUUUUCACCAGACCACCUUCCAUAAGUGAUCACGGAAUAUGAUGAGUUAAAUGUAGUGUUUAGCUUCUUAAUGUACAGACGCACACGUGUUCCAGCAAGGCCUGAAGCUAGCCCACUAGUCUUCAAGAAGUACUAUUCGGCAGUGGUUAAGAAUCUGGCCUCUAGGGGCUCCUGGGUGGCUCAGUCGUUAAGCGUCUGCCUUCGGCUCAGGGCGUGAUCCCGGAGUCCUGGGAUCGAGCCCCACAUCAGGCUCCCUGCUCUGCUGGGAGCCUGCUUCUUCCUCCCCCACUCCCCCUGCUUGUGUUCCCUCUCUCGCUGGCUGUCUCUGUUAAAUAAAUAAAAUUAAAAAAAAAUUAAAAUAAAAAAA
rnacentral:lncRNA from 1 species